GACCCCAGCUCGCGCACCUCCUCCGUAGUGAGCGAGUGAGGCCUUUGGAUCGACCCUCUGAAUGUCGUCCUUAGUGACGACGCUCUCGACGCGACCCCAGGUCAGGCGGGACUACCCGCUGAGUUUAAGCAUAUCAAUAAGCGGAGGAAAAGGAACUUACAAGGAUUCCCCUAGUAACGGCGAGCGAACCGGAAUAGCCCAGCU
rnacentral:rRNA from 1 species